rnacentral:rRNA from 1 species
ACUCCUACGGGAGGCAGCAGUGGGGAAUAUUGGACAAUGGGCGCAAGCCUGAUCCAGCCMUGCCGCGUGAGUGAUGAAGGCCUUAGGGUUGUAAAGCUCUUUUAUCCGGGACGAUAAUGACGGURCCSGAGGAAUAAGCCCCGGCUAACUUCGUGCCAGCAGCCGCGGUAAUACSAAGGGGGCUAGCGUUGCUCGGAAUCACUGGGCGUAAAGGGCGCGUAGGCGGCGUUUUAAGUCGGGGGUGAAAGCCUGUGGCUCAACCACAGAAUGGCCUUCGAUACUGGGACGCUUGAGUAUGGUAGAGGUUGGUGGAACUGCSAGUGUAGAGGUGAAAUUCGUAGAUAUUCGCAAGAACACCGGUGGCGAAGGCGGCCAACUGGACCAUUACUGACGCUGAGGCGCGAAAGCGUGGGGAGCMAACAGGAUUAGAUACCCUGGUAGUCCACGCCGUAAACGAUGAAUGCCAGCUGUUGGGGUGCUUGCACCGCAGUAGCGCAGCUAACGCUUUGAGCAUUCCGCCUGGGGAGUACGGUCGCAAGAUUAAAACUCAAAGGAAUUGACGG